rnacentral:misc_RNA from 1 species
AAGUCGUAACAAGGUUUCCGUAGGUGAACCUGCGGAAGGAUCAAUACGAAGAGGAGAGAGAGGGGAGGAUUUGUUGAAAUACUAGAAGAACAUAUGACAUUUUACACACACAACAACACACAACUCAUAACAAUGGAUCUCUGGGCUCUU